rnacentral:rRNA from 1 species
GAUGAACGCUGGCGGCGUGCUUAACACAUGCAAGUCGAACGGAAAGGCCCAAGCUUGCUUGGGUACUCGAGUGGCGAACGGGUGAGUAACACGUGGGUGAUCUGCCCUGCACUUCGGGAUAGGCCUGGGAAACUGGGUCUAAUACCGGAUAGGACCACUUCUUGGAUGUUGUGGUGGAAAGUUUUUUCGGUGUGGGAUGAGCUCGCGGCCUAUCAGCUUGUUGGUGGGGUAAUGGCCUACCAAGGCGUCGACGGGUAGCCGGCCUGAGAGGGUGUACGGCCACAUUGGGACUGAGAUACGGCCCAGACUCCUACGGGAGGCAGCAGUGGGGAAUAUUGCACAAUGGGCGCAAGCCUGAUGCAGCGACGCCGCGUGGGGGAUGACGGCCUUCGGGUUGUAAACUCCUUUCGCUAGGGACGAAGCGUUUUGUGACGGUACCUGGAGAAGAAGCACCGGCUAACUACGUG